GGAGAGGUGGCCGAGUGGUCGAAGGCGCAGCACUGGAAAUGCUGUGUAGGGUUAACAGCCCUACCGCGGGUUCGAAUCCCGCCCUCUCCG
rnacentral:tRNA from 2 species